AAUUUCUCUGCAUACAACGUCAGUACACUGUUAAGGGGAUAGAUUGAUCUUCUGCAUUGUACUUCACAGUGACAGGGUAGGGUGAGUUUGGUUCUAAGCUGUCCUGGGGGAGUGUUUCUUACUUAUUUGAGAAACAACGUUGCCUCUAAUUAGUUAAGGAUUUGUUAGCAUAUCACUGGUAUACCUACUCAGAGGUCUUCUAGGAAAGCACAUGACAAACAACUGCUUUGCCCAGCAAGGAGCAGCAUAGAUCAGGUCUUUGUUUCCGCUGUAUUUCUUCUCAGUGCAUUUGAUUAGUCUGGUUAAUUGAACAUGUAACACAGACCAUUAUCAUGCAUCAGCAAAAGAGAUUUUGUGAUUCAAACAAAUAUGGCCAUUAUUAGCUGUUUCUGACAUAACAAACAGAACGAUUAGCUUUGGAGACGCAGCACUUAACGGAUGGCUUUGGAUGGCUUUUUGGGGACACAAUCCACAGCACUGUUGGAGGCUCUAAGAAAACUGCAAGACACUAUGCUCCCUGACCUGUCAUAUUGUUGCUGAUUGUUGCUUCUCAUUACACGACGAGAGGAGAAACCUGAAGUCAUUCCAAUCAAGAGUACAAAGAAACACAAGAUCCACAAGACUGAAGGAGUUCACACUGAGGUUGUGUGCAUGAAAUGGCACGUAAGGUUCCAGAUGCUCUGAACAAUCUGAAAAUGAUUCUUUAAUAUUUAAUUAAA
rnacentral:lncRNA from 1 species